GUCCACGCCGUAAACGAUGAAUACUAGGUGUGAGCGCGUAAGCGUUCGUGCCGGAGUUAACACAAUAAGUAUUCCACCUGGGGAGUACGGCCGCAAGGUUGAAACUCAAAGGAAUUGACGGGAGCCCGCACAAGCAGUGGAGUAUGUGGUUUAAUUCGAUGCAACGCGAAGAACCUUACCAGGACUUGACAUCCCGAGAAUCCGACGUAAUGGUUGGAGUGCCCCUUCGGGGGAAUUCGGUGACAGGUGGUGCAUGGUUGUCGU
rnacentral:rRNA from 1 species